UUGUUCUUUAAAUUAUGGUCUCUUAUCAUAUUAUUUUUUUUUAGUUUUAUAUAUUUUUGAAAGAUUUUUAAUAUUUAAUUGAUGAAACCCUACUUUUUUUAUAACCUAGAAAGUAGAAACCCUGCUUUUUCCUCUCCCCAGCCGUUUUCCUCAUAUUCACCCUAUCUUCAAAAUUCACCACUUCUCUUUAAAAAUAAAAACUGAAUUUUCUCUUUUUAGUUGAAAAAGAGAUAAUUCAUAUAACAAUGGUGACUAACUAUUACAAUGGUCUCACCUUCCAUUUCUUUCAAGUCGAUUACGCUCGUAGUCGUUUGUAAGGAUAAUGAUUCCGUCAAUGUCCGCGAUACAACACCGUAGUUCUUGGGUUUGAAAUGAAUUGAUCUGCCGCUAAACUUAAAGAUCCCAGAUUUGCAGGAAGCGGAAAUGGGCUAAGUUGAGAGCUCAUAUAAAUUACAAUGUGUGACUUUAGCUAAGAAAAUGGUUCAGAUUCAUAUUGUAUUUGUAUAUAUUUUUUUUAAUUUAUUAGUAGAUUCAUAUGUCAUGUAACAUCAUUAUUGAUUUUGUAAUAUUAAUAUACAAGUACAAAUGUAAAUGAUAUAGAUUAUUGUUUUUAUCAAUGGAUUGGACAGUGGUUAAUUUUAAA